UACGUAGGGGGCAAGCGUUGUCCGGAAUCAUUGGGCGUAAAGCGCGCGUAGGCGGCCCUGUAAGUCCGUUGUGAAAUCUCCGGGCUUAACCCGGAAAGGUCAACUGAUACUGCAGGGCUAGAGUGCAGAAGGGGCAACUGGAAUUCUCGGUGUAGCGGUGAAAUGCGUAGAUAUCGAGAGGAACACCUGCGGCGAAGGCGGGUUGCUGGGCUGACACUGACGCUGAGGCGCGAAAGCCAGGGGAGCGAACGGG
rnacentral:rRNA from 1 species